rnacentral:rRNA from 1 species
UACGUAGGUGGCAAGCGUUGUCCGGAUUUACUGGGCGUAAAGGAUGCGUAGGCGGACAUUUAAGUCAGAUGUGAAAUACCCGAGCUUAACUUGGGUGCUGCAUUUGAAACUGGGUGUCUAGAGUGCAGGAGAGGUAAGUGGAAUUCCUAGUGUAGCGGUGAAAUGCGUAGAGAUUAGGAAGAACACCAGUGGCGAAGGCGACUUACUGGACUGUAACUGACGCUGAGACGCGAAAGCCAGGGGAGCAAACGGG